UACAGAGGAGCCAAGCGUUGUCCGGAUUGACUGGGCGUAAAGCGCACUCAGGCGGACGCGCGCGUGGGGUGUGAAAUCUGGCCGCUUAACGGCCAGGCGCCAUCCCAUACGGCGGGUCUGGAGCCUUGCAGAGGUCGGUGGAAUUGCCGGUGUAGUGGUGAAAUGCGUAGAGAUCGGCAGGAACACCCAGGGGGAAAGCACUCUGCUGGGCCGACACUGACACUGAGAGACGAAAGCUAGGGGAGCGAAUGGG
rnacentral:rRNA from 1 species